GUGUGGGUCGUACCCUCUGUAGUAGUAUGUAUGUAGCCAGCUCUAGUUUGAUGAAUUGCUCACUAGAUGGCGUUUCAUGUAUUUCUUAGAGUUGCUGUUUAAAGAUGACUGAUGGCGCUUGUAUAAUGCAAAUGGCGCAUGUCAUUGGACAUGCGACAUGCGUUCGCUUUUGGCGCGCUUUCUAUCUCGCUCGGAGUGGCCGGAUGGAGGCAGACAAGGCUGCGGAGCGGCGAGCGCGCAAGGCGGCGGCAGCGCGCGCUCGCAGACAGAAUCCGGCCGUGCGAGAACGAGAGGCCGAAGCGUGUCGUCAGGCUGCUCGGCGACGCCGGGAAAACCCCGCAGUGCUAGAACGAGAGGCCGAAUCGGCACGGCGGCGUCGCGAAGAUCCAGCCGUUCGAGAACGAGAGGCCGAAGCGGCACGGCGGCGUCGCGAAGAUCCAGCCGUUCGAGAACGAGAGGCCGAAGCGGCACGGCGGCGUCGCGAAGAUCCAGCCGUUCGAGAACGAGAGGCCGAAGCGGCACGGCGGCGUCGCGAAGAUCCAGCCGUUCGAGAACGGGAGGCUGAAGCGGCACGGCGGCGUCGCGAAGAGGAUCUCCAAAACGUCAGGGAUCGGGAAGCGGCGAGAAAACGCGCGUAUCAGCAGGCAGACCCCGAUGUUGUGAGAGCUCGUGAAGUGUCUGCAAAACGCAUCAGGCGAGCUCAGCCCGAAGUAGCUGGUCCAGAUGUGCUCCUGAGGAGGUGUCCCUGCGGUCAAGUGCUCAACACGAAUGACACAAGCCAGUUGCCAGCAUGGGAAGUGCGGAGAGACGUGUCCAUCCAGUGCGGCUUACAACGGAUGCCCCCUUUGCCUCUCCCAAUGGAGAUUAUUCUGUCAACGACAACUGGCGACAAUGCUGAGGAAGGAACAAGGCUGAGCCAAGUCCUUUCUCCAGUUGAGAAAGAAGAAGACCAUGGCACAGACAAGGCAUUGAAUUGUGAACGGCUGUUUCGGUGCCAUCUCUGCAAGUACUCAACACCUAAGCUUCAGAGGCUGAGAUAUCACCUAGUAUCGCACAGCACAGAGAAACCUUUCAAGUGUGAGGUUUGCCCAGUGGCCUUUAAGUGCUUGGAGUCCUACAACGCCCACAUGUGCAAACAUACGGGAGAAAAGCUGUACCAGUGUGACCUUUGCCCGUAUUCGACUGCUUACAAGAAAAGCCAUUUGGAGCACAAGCGGACUCACUGAAAUGUCAGGCCUUUUGCCUGCACCAUGUGUGGAUAUAGAACUAAUAGCAAGUCAAACCUUCUUAUGCAUAAGCGUCAACACACAAACAAUAAGCCUUUUAAGUGCAAAGUCUGCUCUCUUGGUUUCGGUCGAAAGCACUCCUUAAAAAUCCACAUGCAGCAGCAUCUGGAGCUGUAGCUGCGCUGAAGAUUGUGGGUGUUCCUGAAAGCCGCAUCCAAGAUUAAGUGCCUGGAAAGAUGUGUUGAUGCACGAGCCGGGAGACAUGUUGAACGAAAGCAGAUAGGCCCUUGAUGCCCAUUACUGUACAUCUGUGAUGAGCAAGUGCGCGUUUGAAAAGUCCGUGACAUAAAGAAUAUAGACUCCAGACAACGAUGAAGACGACGCAGGACCGCAGCACGUGUGAGCGUGACCACAUCUGUCCAAUGAAGUGCCGCCACGGGGUUUUCGGAAGGAAAACCACGGGUGUAGAACGGCAGAGCGAGGAGACGUGGCCAGGACGUGACCGAGUGAAGAAGGCGACCAGGGCGCGGGAGUGGCUGCCGGCAGAGUUCCUGAGUCGCGGCCGCUGUGGGCUCCCACCUGGGCGCGUACCCAGCUUCUUCAAUCGUCUGGCAUUGGCCAGAUACAUGCUUCCCAUCGUCUGGCAUUGGCCAGGCAAGACCUGCGUCUUCCAUCUGAACCCCAGUCUGCAGUAGGCGAACGCCGAAAGGGCAUCCAGCCGUUGACCUCGACUCGCCCUACGCUUCUGUCCAUCCGAGUGAGCGUCUUGCCGCAUCUCUAGCCCUCGCCGUCUGCGUGAGUGCGUCUGUGCCUUGCCCUCACAGUCUCCGCUACAAGCUUCGCGUCCCAAUGAAUGGUGACACUGCCUUUUUCUCUUGUACAUAUCUUCUGUGAACUGUUCGCGUCUUCUAACAUUUUCCUGCUCUUGUUAACUUCUUUUGUGCUUGCAUUUUCUGUAACUUCCUCUCCCUCGCUAUCUUUGUCUUCUGUGUAAAUAUAUUGAGUGUUUCGUUUCAGGAGUGCACAAAUGGUCUCGCCUUGUUUCUUGAUGACGGUUAUGUCAUUGGUUGAAUGUUUACACGAACCUACACGAGAGCGUAAUUAAUUGAAUAGCCUCGUGACAAUUGGCGUCCGCAGUGACAGGACAAAGCCGUUUGUUUUUCAACUUGAUGUUUCUGUAGUUAAAGCUAUGACGAGCGCGUAAGAAAUAUUGGAACUGGCAGAACGCACGGGUUUCGAGGGUGUGGAGCUUAGAGUGUGGUAUGACGAGCGGAUGGCACGAGAGUUCGAAGGGAACUAGACAAGCAGAAGGUUGGCACCGGACCGAGCGCUGAAGAGGGGUUGUCGGGUUUCGGACCCGAGCCACCAAGACUUCAACUGGCCGUGGCCUCCUGCCAUCGAGUUCCUGUGCGAGACCAUAGCCACGGGGCAUGAACUCCAGCCCAAGGCCUGCGGACUUCGGUUCCGGCAGGCAAGCAGCAGCAGUUGGGCUACGGGCCCGAGCUGUCCUCCCAGGUGCCUGGGCCUGUUUCUUCAGGCAUCUCAGCGUGUCGCCCAGUAGCCACCGUUCUCUUAUCAACACCAGCCACACCCGCCAACUCAGCCAGUCAAGCCUCUGCUGGUUGGCGAUAUCGAACUUGUAUUAUUCCCCGCUCCACCGCUCAGCUGCGUCAGAAUUAGACUCUGUAGUUUUGGUCUUUGAACUUGCAUUUGGUGCGUCCUUAGAAGUAUUUAAUGUGUGCAGUGAACUUUUUAUUAAGUAUUUACCUGUGUAUAGUUUUUUAGGGCCGAAGCUCCUCUUAGUCUAACCUUGUCACGUCUCCGUUGUCCGGCGUAACCACCUUUCCAAACUGCCCACUCCUUCGUCUUUGCAAACAUCCCACUACGACCCAUCACCGAUUCUUUGCAAACUGCCCACUACUUCGUCUUUGCAAACAUCCCACUACGAUCCAUCACCGAUCCACUACUUCACCGACCAUAAAGCCGUUAUAAUGAAGGGGGAACGGAAGCCACCUUUGCAAACUGUCCACUACUUCGUCUUUGCAAACAUCCCACUACGACCCAUCACCGAUCCAUCACUUCACCGACCAUAAAGCCGUUAUAUACAGUGUUUGUCACAUCUUUGAUGAUGUACUGGGCUAUCGCUUUGAUUACUGCUGGGCUAAACCACUGAAGAUUUCACGGUGUAACCAUGAUUGCUUCAGGAGCUUUGCCCAAGCUCUUCAUCAUUCACCCGUGGAUAUGCUGUGAAUUUUUUUCCUUUAGUUUCUCAUUAAACGUUUUGUGUGGUGUUUCUGAAACCAACGGCUUUGUCCUAAUAAAUCUCUCCGACGCUCAGUCUUAGAGAGCUGUCGCAAACGGAAAAGAACCUGCAUCACAACAUCUCAAUCCCUGCUCUAUGAGUUGAAUUAUGCCUCUCGAGAGGGCUGAACUCUCCACAUGAGACAUUUUCUUGUCUAUUCGGUACUGUUGUAUACAUUGUGUACAACUUUAUUGUAUCGUUGAACCCAUGUGUGUCAAACUCGAAGGAGAUUGCAGAAUAGUUUGAUAUGUCAGCAGUUUAUUAAACCACAUUAUGCCAUUCACAUCAAAUGUGGAUGUAAAGAACCUCGAUUUAAUGAUAUCCAUUAAAUUGUGAACUAUUUUCGUGUUGUAAUUGCAGCCUCACUGAAAAAUCAUGUUUUCUUUUUGAAGUUGUGUUUAAUUAUUUCAAUGGCCAGCACGCACAGCCUCUCUUCUCUCUACUGUGCCCGCCGAAUACCGCAAGAAGUCUGAGCUCACUGAGCCCCGCAUAGGGCACCAUGCCCACACUUUUGUCCACACCACACAUGAGAACUUAGCUUUUCGAUGUUAAGAUAAGGCAAGAGUGUGCACGUAUGCCACAAAGAGACUGCAGGCUCUUUUUUGCAUACAUGCGGAGAGUCUCUCCAAUCCGCCUCUUUCAUUUUCCUGUGCUGCCAUUUUGGUAGGGGUUUGGUAGGGGCUGAGACAACCGGUAUUGCCAGAAGCAAAGCCUCCGAGAUGAAGAGACGUUUCGUGACUUUUCAGCUGAGGGAGAGCGCAUGUGCAGGGUCGUCGUGAAAAAGGCGGAUUGACCAUUUGGAGAGACUCUCCAAAUGGUGCUUUAUUAGCAAGAUUUGAAUGAGUACACAAUUGUGAGGACAAAGUCUAAUCUUAGCCUAAUCAGAGUUUUAAUACAUGAGCUGGUGAGCACGAAUGGUGCACUGUGAAUUAUACAGGGAACCACUUCUGUAGGGACAAGAUACUCUGUGGUCAGCGCUUGCACAAUCACCCACCCCAUGCUUCAUCUAUCGAUGUGUGGGUGCCAAGUAUACCAACCACACACUGCACAAGCAAGCUAGGGACUGUUUAUCAAAUGCUUCCCCCCCGCGUUUGCUCCUAGGGAAAGGCUGCGGCACUGCUGUAAGUGGGUGCACGGUACAUCCUCCCUUCUCUUUAGGUGACAUGGUUUGCGAAGUGUGCUGGUGCCAUACCUCGCUUAGUGGUUCUUCGAGAAAGUGGGUCGGCUUCUUGUGGUGUGUGAUGACUAGCUGCUGGUCAGUCACCUUGCAAUGGCCCUUUGGUGGUUUAUGCACACCCGGUGAUGCCAGUGGAGCUUCAUAGUGGCUACAGUAUGACAGAGACAGAUGGAAGGCAAAGAAACAUAUGGAACACAGGGCUUCAGCUGUGCUAAUGUGGCUGAAUUGCCCGGUGCUGCUUCUGGUGUAGGAUGUGGACUUGCAGGGACAUGUUCUGCAGGGACACACUGCUUUUAUUGAAAUAGCAGUGUUCACGUGCACUGUGCACGAUUUAACCGAUGUUGAAUGGUUUGUACGUAUUUUUGUUUUCUUUUCUAAAAGUAAGCCUUCUUUGUUAUACUGCUCCAAAUUUGGGAUAUUGUGCUAAAAGAAUUCAGGUGUUUUUCUGUAACCUGCUCCAAAUUUGGAUUUUUGUGCUCCAAAAGCAACAUUUUGCUUCUCCGAAAAUUGCUCCAAAUACUAUUUCGGCUGUUGCACCCCUGUAAAUUCGAGAGCAUUAAGAAAAACCAACAUCGGCAUCGUUGACCCUACGAAUGCAAACAAUAAAGAUCAGGAUCGUGGCAGUCAGGUAUCCUACCCCAGAGCCAUGCCAGGUCUUGAAAUUGCUUUGGAAAAAGGCCCUAUGCAGGCAUUAUGCCGGUGCAACAUCAAUUGUGGUUGAAGUGCUGGCUAUCUAAUUUGAUAACAAAGCAAUAAACAUUACAUAUGUACUCCUAUGAUACAGGUGUCAUGUCAGGUUAAUGUCAAUUGUGGUUCCAGUGUUGGCUCCACUUUUAUAGCAGAGUAAUAAACAUUACAUUUGUUUUCCUAUUAUUCAGCAAGCUAUAGUCAAGCAUUGCUCGAAGCCGGAGGAAUAUGUUAACCUAUGAUACUCGCACAUCACACCAUAGUGUGCACUUCGUUUCGAUAAUACUGAUGCCUGUGCUCUAACGCGGGUGCUGAUAUUUCAUCAGAUCAUUAAAAAACACCAUCUGUAGUCAGCAUUCCUCGUAAGCCCGCGAUGUGCACACAACUACUAAACUUAUGAAAACACGUCGAUCCACCUCGUAAUGCCUGGCUCAAAGCCGAGAAAUGCAGCAUAAACAAUUACUCACCAACUGCUUUCCAUGAAACAGAUUCCCACAAGGCAUGGGAUCUGCCAAAUUUUUUUUUCUUUUCAGGGGUAUCAACAAACAUCUAAUUGCAUAGCAUCAGGUGGCACUGUAUUCCAAGCACUGUGAUUAACUUAUCACUUUUCAGUGGAACUAUUCACUUGAGCAAACGUACUGAAAAGUUCAAAAUAGGUUUCAAGAUUACUCUUUCUUACACAGUAAUGAUAGCUUUUUUACUUUCUCUGCAUCUGGAACAGUGACAAUUUUCCACUUGUCUGCAUCCACUGUUGCUCGUAAUCCCAUCCUCCCCUACACAUUUUAGAUACCAGGCAUACAACAGGCAGAUGACUGUUUUUUCAGCAGCAGCUUGCAACAACAACAGCAGUAAGGAAAAAGACACACACUCCCGUGUCCUGUUAGUUUUACAACUUAAUGUUCCUGCUAGCAUACUAAAAAACAGUGCCCACCAAGUACACAGCGCACAUAUCUGCCUUCUGAUUUUAGCGCUGCAUGCUCAGUCCAUUUCUACUACUCACUGUUUGCCUUGCAUGAGAGUACUUAAUAUAUGAAAUAACGAUUCACUUCCAAAAGCUGGAUUGUCACAUGCAUUGACCUGCAAGUCAAAGAUGUGCUUGAGUUUUAUUGUGCUUGACAUCACUGGAGGUAGCAGCA